UACGACCAUGGUUCUGAGUUCUGCUGAAUUUUGAUCUGUUUAUAUGUGCUCUUUGUUAAGUAGACAGCAGCGCCCGGGUUCUCACUGCCUUCUGUCCUCCCCGGGCACCCGCUCAGCAGUGUCCCCACCCAGUCACCACAGCCCUACUCACAGAGCACCUGCACUCUUGUCCCUGUGGCCUGGCUUUGGAGUCACGGCCAGGAGCACAGGGAUGUGA
rnacentral:lncRNA from 1 species